AACAUUCCCCUCUUUGCCUCCUCUGCUUAAUUCUUCAAUUUCAAAGAUAAUUGCUGACUCAAACUCUCUUUUUUCUCUAAAAUUCCUUCUGUUCCCCUCUCCCUUUUUCAAUCGAACUCAUCGCAUCGAAUUUGCUUAGUACGAUUUACGUCACGUAAAUAAUGGAAAACAAUCACCAGACACAAAUUCAGGCCACUAAAACAUCAAGAUUCAAACGCAUAUGUGUUUUUUGUGGAAGCAGUCCAGGCAAAAAACCAAGUUAUCAACUUGCUGCUAUUCAACUUGGCAAUCAACUGGUUGAAAGGAACAUCGACUUGGUUUAUGGAGGUGGCAGUGUUGGCUUGAUGGGCCUAGUUUCUCAAUCAGUUUUUAAUGGUGGCCGCCACGUGUUAGGGGUGAUUCCUAAAACUCUUAUGCCAAGAGAGUAAUUUAUUACCGGAGAAAGUGUUGGAGAAGUAAGAGCAGUGUCUGGAAUGCAUCAAAGAAAAGCAGAAAUGGCAAGACAAGCUGACGCAUUCAUAGCCUUACCAGGUGGCUAUGGGACAUUGGAAGAACUCCUAGAAGUCAUCACUUGGGCUCAACUAGGCAUUCAUGAUAAACCAGUAGGUUUACUUAAUGUAGAUGGCUACUAUAAUUCAUUAUUGUCAUUUAUAGACAAAGCUGUUGAUGAAGGCUUUGUCACACCCUCUGCCCGUCACAUCAUUAUUUCUGCCCCAACUGCCCAAGAACUCAUGUCUAAGCUUGAGGAUUAUGUCCCAAAGCAUAAUGGGGUGGCACCAAAAUUGAGUUGGGAAAUGGAGCAACAACUUGGCUACACAACAACAAAAUUGGAAAUUGCUCGUUGAAUAUUCAAAUGAUGGGUAGAUUUAAUAUAUAUUUAUAGAGAAAAAUGUAGUAAAUUUCUUUGAAGACUUAAAUUCAUCAAUUAUGACUUAAUUACCAUAAGGUAAGAUGUUGAUGGGAAAAAGCUUCAGAGAAUUAAUUAAUAUAUAAUUAGUAGCUUUACAGCACUUUUAACUUGCUGUUUAUAAUUAGUUUUAAGGAAAAAAAAAUAUAUUACGUAAUUAAUUUGUUUAGUGUUGAUUCAUUUUUGUCCAUUAGGCAAAUCAAAUGCCUAAUUAAAACAGGAAAAAGUUGAUGUAGUACAAGUAAUUGUUUUAUUUUCUCUGUCUGUAUAUGAUUGUUUGGUAAUGUACAUUAAUUUCUUUGUUAUUCUAUAGUUAAUUGUGUUUACUCUAAUGUAAAACGUGUAAGGUUAUCUUAUGAAAUGAAUAUUAAUAUAUUUUGGAACAAA